UACGUAGGGGGCAAGCGUUGUCCGGAAUCAUUGGGCGUAAAGCGCGCGUAGGCGGCCCGGUAAGUCCGCUGUGAAAGUCAAAGGCUCAACCUUUGAAUGCCGGUGGAUACUGCCGGGCUAGAGUCCGGAAGAGGCGAGUGGAAUUCCUGGUGUAGCGGUGGAAUGCGCAGAUAUCGGGAAGAACACCCGUGGCGAAGGCGGUUCUCUGGGACGGUACUGACGCUGAGACGCGAAAGCGUGGGGAGCGAACAGG
rnacentral:rRNA from 1 species